GACGAACGCUGGCGGCGUGCUUAACACAUGCAAGUCGAACGGUAAGGCCCUUCGGGGUACACGAGUGGCGAACGGGUGAGUAACACGUGGGUGAUCUGCCCUGCACUUCGGGAUAAGCCUGGGAGACUGGGUCUAAUACCGGAUAGGACUCCGGACUGCAUGGUCUGGGGUGGAAAGCUUUUGCGGUGUGGGAUGGGCCCGCGGCCUAUCAGCUUGUUGGGGGGGUGAUGGCCUACCAAGGCGACGACGGGUAGCCGGCCUGAGAGGGUGACCGGCCACACUGGGACUGAGAUAAGGCCCAGACUCCUACGGGAGGCAGCAGUGGGGAAUAUUGCACAAUGGGCGCAAGCCUGAUGCAGCGACGCCGCGUGAGGGAUGACGGCCUUCGGGUUGUAAACCUCUUUCAGCAUCGACGAAGCGAAAGUGACGGUAGGUGCAGAAGAAGGACCGGCCAACUACGUGCCAGCCGCCGCGGUAA
rnacentral:rRNA from 1 species